CAUCAGACGUAAUCUGCCGCAAAAAUGUUGCGGAAACGCAUUAUUGGAUACCUUGUGCGAAACGCCAAGCUAAUACAUGAACUAAGGGGUUCAUCCCGUUCCACACGCACGCGGUUUCGGCCGUUGGCGUGGUGGGUGGCCCUGCGGAUGAAUGAAAGUACAAACCAAUGCCUCGCAAGGGGCAGUAUCACGGAGAAGUGCCGAAUCAAUUCAUCUUUGCGAAAGCCGGCUUGCCGGCGUAUUUUGACGAACAACUGCCCUAUCAGCCAUGAUGGCCGUGUAGUGGACUGCCAUGGCGUUGACGGGAGCGGGGGAUUAGGGUUCGAUUCCGGAGAGGGAGCCUGAGAAAUGGCUACCACUUCUACGGAGGGCAGCAGGCGCGCAAAUUGCCCAAUGCCAAAACAAAUGAUGAGGCAGCGAAAAGAAAUAGGUGCCCCAAACGCCUUGUGUGUUUGGGGCUUUCAAUGGGGGAUAUUUAACACCAUCCAACAUCGAGUAACAAUUGGAGGACAAGUCUGGUGCCAGCACCCGCGGUAAUUCCAGCUCCAAGAGCGUAUAUUAACGCUGUUGCUGUUAAAGGGUUCGUAGUUGAACUGUGGACCGCGACGCCGGG
rnacentral:rRNA from 1 species